UGGAAAAAAUAAGAUUGAAGGAAAGCCAUAUUGCGGCUGCAGUUAAUUUUCGUUCACAAUCUAUUUCCAAGCUGUGGCUAUAAUUUAAAUCAAUUUCAACGUAGACUUGAAACAUCCUCUAUAGCUCGUGAUUAUAUUCAAAGUUUAAAAUAAAUCUUAAGUUAAAUUCUACCUUCUCGAAAGAAAAGCAUGGAGUUGCAACGCAUUGGAAGAAAAGAAGAAAGUUUAGAGAGCCACGAAACGCAAUAGAAACUAAACGUAAUUGAAUGUCAUGUUUCAUAUCUAUCCUUUCUCGAGAAGAAAUAGCAGCUUUGCAUCGUGGAUCUCUGAAUUCCCGACAUUUUCCAAGAAUCCUUGACUGGAAAUCACGGCAUUCAACCUUCCAUGGUGUUUACUCAAACCAGUGCCUCGUGGAACACACGUUAUAUGCAUGAGACUGAUAUGAGUUUCAGAAAGGAAAGUGCAACUAUAUCGAGCGACGAGGCGUCGAAAGGAAAUGCUUGCUGUAAUGUAAACUCCUUCAGGCCUUUGCGAUCGAAAAUUUACAAUCGAAAAUCCGUAUAUUUCAGAAAUAAAAUAUUUUCUAUCUUUAAUUCAUAAUACAAUAUUGCAUAUAAAACAAAAUAAAGACGUGAAGAGUUCAAAGCUUCUAUUUUCAAAAUUGGU